rnacentral:rRNA from 1 species
UCGCCUACGGGAGGCAGCAGUGGGGGAUAUUGCACAAUGGGGGGAACCCUGAUGCAGCAACGCCGCGUGAGUGAGGAAGUAUUUCGGUAUGAAAAGCUCUAUCAGCAGGGAAUAGAAGAGAAGGUAACUGAAAAAGAAGCCCCGGCUAACUACGUGCCAGCAGCAGCGGUAAUACGUAGGGGGCAAGAGUUAUCCGGAUUUACUGGGUGUAAAGAGAGCGUGGACGGAAAGGCA